ACGGUGGUGGUCCGCCAUUUCGUGACGCCGCGAGACCGAGAAUCUGUAGGAGCAGAACCAGAGGGAAGCGGGUGGGCCUGUCGGAGCGUUAGGAUUUGAGCUUGGGCCUUUUGAACCCAGGAUCUCGAAAUGCAUCGUGAUUCCUGUCCCUUGGAUUGUAAGGUUUAUGUAGGUAAUCUUGGAAAUAAUGGAAACAAGACUGAAUUAGAACGGGCUUUUGGCUAUUAUGGACCACUCAGAAGUGUGUGGGUUGCUCGAAACCCUCCUGGCUUUGCUUUCGUCGAAUUUGAGGAUCCCCGAGAUGCUGCUGAUGCUGUCCGGGAACUAGAUGGAAGAACACUGUGUGGCUGCCGUGUAAGAGUGGAACUGUCGAAUGGUGAAAAGAGAAGUCGGAAUCGUGGGCCGCCUCCCUCUUGGGGUCGUCGUCCUCGAGAUGAUUACCGCAGGAGGAGUCCUCCACCUCGGCGCAGAGUCACCAUCAUGUCUCUUCUCACCACCCUCUGAAUCUGCAUUAGCCAGUCAACUAGCCCUUUCAGCGUCAUGUGACCAGCGCGCCCCAUUCAGCUUGGCUGGUGUCGUUUCACAUGACCCAGGCUGGCCAGUCGUCAGGUUGCACCGCCCUUUGGUUCCCGAGCAUGCUGUUUUCUCUCAGCCUUCUCUCCAACCUUAACCAAAUCGGCAGCAGCCACCUCGACCGCCCACACAUUCCUGGCCAAUCAGCUCAGCUGUUUAUUUACCAAAUGUCUUCACAACAACUACAGCAGCAGCCUUCGGCUAACAAAAAAGCAGGAAAAAUCCACAACACCCCCUUCGCCAACCAACUAAAUCCAACGCAACAUCUGGCAAAACCUUUUCAGCAAAUUCUUCCUGGCCGUCAGUCCGGCAGCCUCACCUCACCAUUUCUAGCUUGUUGAAACCCAAAACUAAUCCCCAAGAAGGAGAAGCUUUUCCCGAAGCCGGAGCAGGUCACUUUCUAGAGAUAGGAGAAGAGAAAGGUCUCUGUCUCGUGAGAGAAAUCACAAGCCGUCUCGAUCCUUCUCUAGGUCUCGUAGCCGAUCUAGGUCAAAUGAAAGGAAAUAGAAGACCAGUUUGCAAAAGUGGUGUACAGGAAAUAACUUCAUCUGACAGGAGUAUGUACAGGAAAUUAAAGUUUUGUUUGAGACUUCAUAAGCUUGGUGCAUUUUUAAGAUGGUUUAGCUGUUUAAAUUUGUUUUGUCUCUUGGAACAGUGACACACAAAACAAUGUAAUUCUCUAUGGUUUUCAGAUGGAUCAUAAGAGGCACGUGAUAUCAAGAAUUGUUACUUUACAAUGUUCCCUUAAGCAAGAUUUAAUUUUCUUUGAAUUUUAGUUUUUCAUAGACUGAAAUAAACCUUAGGUCCUGCCCAGUUUUAAGUGUGAUGUACUAAUGAUAUAAAGCAACUGGCGGAAAUUGAAAGAAGCUAUAGUCCUCUAGUAGCUGAGACACUGUGGCACUGUGGGUGGAAUGAUAAAGCGGUGUUUAAGAGCUGCUGUGAACACAAGCCAACAGAUAAGGGUAGGAACCACACUGAAGAUUUGCAAAGGGGUUCCUUCCUGGUUUCUCUAUGGGGAUGCAGAGCUAUUGUAACGUCUUUAUUUGGAAAUGUAAAACUCAGAUGCCAGUGUCCUUUCAGUUUAAGGGUACAUUGUAGAGCUCAACUUUUCAGUUACUGUGCAAGAUUGUUUUUCAUGCUGUCAUUUGUAAUAUGUUUGUGAGAAUCUUUGGGAUUAAAGUUUUGGUUACAAAUUGUUGUUUAACUUGAAAGCCUGUUUUUCCUUGCACACUCAAAAUCUGUGAGCUUGGUAUCAAGUCCAGGUAAAACAUUCCUAUUGGAAGCCAUACUUAUAUUUUCUUGUAAAGUGCUUUUGAAUUAAUAAAGUACUAGCAUAAUUGUGUAGUAGUCAGUCGAGCGAACCACUGUUGCCAUUGUUCUUAUCCCUGGGAAAGUAGUUGGUUACCCAGUUCAUUCUUUGUAAGAAACACAACUGAGAAGCACUACAUUAGUGAAGGAAUUUUUUUUUCCCCUUUGCUUGUCACUUAUGAGAGUUAGCCAUUUUUUAGGUGUUGAAGCCAGUUCAGGAUUAUGGCUGUUAGUGACUAACAUUUUAAAGUAAGCUCCAGUAUGGUAGGUAUAUUGUAAUUCCCUUAAGUUGCCCAUAAAAAGUGGCUUUGAUCUUCAGCAUGAAAACAUUCAAAAUUUUAAAAUUUAUUUUAUAACUUGAGGUGUUGCAUGGGAUUCCAAAUUGAUCCAUCAUGAUGUAAAAUCCCCAAUAUGGUUAAUUGUAAUGAUGCACAGUUGAAAUGGAGGCAUGCAUAUCCUUUCUCUUAGAAUCUGGAGGAGUUGUGGUUUCAGGUAUUUGUGUGCAACUAGAUUAAAUCAUAAUGCAACAGUCUUGUGGCUUAAGUUUCCUUAAAUGUGUUCUUUUGAGAUAAGAUUCUACUGUACUGACUUGGUCUAUGUAAGAGCCAUUGCACUAAGUUAAAUCUGUAAGCUUAUAAAUCUCCCCCAUUGUUAUCUUUAAACAAUAAAUUUCAGUAAAAAAGGAGAGAGUUGUGUCUAGAAGGUUCCAACAUGAGCCUUUGAAAGAAGUACCCAUCUUCUUUGAAGGUACUUUUAAAUUAGCUACCCUUGAUCAUUCUGAGUAUAAUACUAAAAGGAUGAUUCCAGGUGUUUGCUAGAGGUCAUUAUUAGUACUUAAUGAUGAUUAAGAAAGGCACCUGAGAAUAUGGGUAACCUCAGAUAUUACAUACACAAUGUAGGUUCUCUUCAUUUACCAUCUAGGUGCCUAAGUGUCAUGAUGGCAUCUCUACCCUGUAUUGGACUGUAAUAAACAGCCAUAGUUGUCUUAGCCACUGGCUUAGUGCCUUGUCUUAACUGUGCUUUGCUUUUCUGAAUCCAGAUGAGAUUUAGGUAUCAAUCUAUUCCAGUGUAUAUUUUUGUACUACCAGACUCUUGUCUUCUGGUUUUCUUUUAGGGUAGGAACAUAAAAGAUUAUUAUUAAAAGACACUGACUUAAAGUU